rnacentral:tRNA from 1 species
GCGGGCGAAGUGUUGUGGUUGCACAGAAGCCUUCCAAGCUUCUAGGGCGGGUUCGAUUCCCGUCGCCCGCUUCA